rnacentral:misc_RNA from 1 species
AUACAUCAAAUUUCUCCAAAUUUAUCCAUAAUGAGAACUCCAAUGAGUAUCUCCCAGUCUCUUCAAUGCCAUUUCUUGAUUUAGACCUUGUCCAGUUUUUAUUUCACCUUUUGCAAUUCCUUCAAACAUUUUCUCUAGUUGCUUUUCUCGAAGCAUGUCCCUGCUUUUACAAGAACCUCCAAUAACAUUGACCAAAUAAGUAACAGUAUUGAAAAAAGAACCUAUACUUGAAUGCUUUUUAGCAACAGCAACAAGUGUGAGUUGGAGUUGAUGAGCAAAAUAAUGUAUAUAAUAAGCACUAGAAUUCUCCUUCAAAAUCAAACUUUGAAGGCCAUUAAAUUCACCUCGCAUAUUACUAGCUCCAUUAUAGCCUUGACCUCUCAAACUAGAUAUACUCAAGCCAUAAGUAGAGAGCAAAGACUCAAUACCUUUUUUAAGAGAUGCUGCACUUGUAUUAUGGACAUGCACAAGACCAAUAAAUCUUUCAAUGACACAUCCAGAUCCAUUGACAUAUCUUAUGACAACUCCCAUUUGCUCUUUAACUGAUACAUCUCGACAUUCAUAAACUAAAAUGGAGGACAAAUCAUCUCCAAAAUCUGUAAUGAUAGCCUUUGUUAUCUCAGUUACAGCUGCAUUAAUGAUAUCUUUUUGAAUAUCAGGAGAUGUGAGUUUGAGAUUGUCAGGAGCAUUCUUAAACACAACAUUAUUAAUUUCUUCAUUACAUGAAGCCAGAACUUUUAAUAAUUCAAGAAAAUUUCCUUGAUUUAAUGAAUUUUCAGACUCAUCAUUCCUCCGAAAAGCCAAUCCUUGCAUCAAGAGAUAACAAAGACAUAUAAUUGAUGCAUUUAACCUGCAACGAUACUCAAUUUUUUACUGUUCUGAUUGUUUUGAAAAAGAAACUUCAAUGUGUUGAGCUUGAUUCAUUAAAUCUUCACAAGCUAAU